rnacentral:rRNA from 1 species
CCNUAUUGCUAUCGGGAUGAGANUAAGCCAUGCUAGUUGUGCGCUCCUUAGCUAUGUUAGGAGAGCAGCGUACGGCUCCGUAACACGUAGUUAAUCUGCCCUUAGGAUGGACAUAACCCCGGGAAACUGGGGCUAAUAACCAAUAGAUGCAAAUACCUGGAAUGGCUUUGCAUUGAAAUGUUUUUGAAAACAUGCUUUUAAAAGCGCCUAAGGAUGAGACUGCGACCGAUCAGGCUGUUGGUGGGGUAACGGCCCACCAAACCUAUAACCGGUACGGGCCCUGAGAGGGGGAGCCCGGAGAUGGGAACUGAGACAAGGUCCCAGGCCCUACGGGGCGCAGCAGGCGCGAAACCUCCACAAUGCGCGAAAGCGUGACGGGGCUACCCCGAGUGCCGCCCGUUGAGGGCGGCUUUUCCACGGUGUGAGGAGCCGUGGGAAUAAGGAGAGGGCAAGACUGGUGUCAGCCGCCGCGGUAAUACCAGCUCUCCGAGUGGUGGGGACGAUUAUUGGGCUUAAAGCGUUCGUAGCCGGCCUAACAAGUCUUCCGUUAAAUCCAACGAUCUAAUCGUUGGGCUGCGGGAGAUACUGUUGGGCUAGGAGGCGGGAGAAGCCGACGGUAUUCUCGGGGUAGGGGUGAAAUCCUGUAAUCCCGGGAGGACCACCAGUGGCGAAGGCGGUCGGCUAGAACGCGCUCGACGGUGAGGGACGAAAGCUGGGGGAGCGAACCGGAUUAGAAACCCGGGUAGUCCCAGCUGUAAACGAUGCGGGCUAGGUGUUGGGGUGGCCACGAGCCACUUCAGUGCCGCAUGGAAGCAAUUAAGCCCGCCGCCUGGGGAGUACGGCCGCAAGGCUGAAACUUAA